GCCUGGGUGGCUCAGCGGUUGAGCAACUGUCUUUGGCUCAGGACGUGAUGCCGGGGUUCUGGGAUCGAGUCCCACAUCAGGCU
rnacentral:tRNA from 1 species